rnacentral:misc_RNA from 1 species
UCUCCGUAGGUGAACCUGCGGAGGGAUCAUUACUGAGUGAGGGCCUUCGGGCUCGACCUCCAACCCUUUGUGAACACAACUUGUUGCUUCGGGGGCGACCUUGCCGUCCGCGGUUGAGCGCCCCCGGGGUCAAUCAAACCCUGCGUAACUAAGUCGUCGGAGUUUAAACAAAUUAAACAAAACUUUCAACAACGAAUCUCUUGGUUCGGGCAUCGAUGAAGAACGCAGC